rnacentral:rRNA from 1 species
UACGUAGGGUCCGAGCGUUGUCCGGAAUUACUGGGCGUAAAGAGCUCGUAGGUGGUUUGUCGCGUUGUUCGUGAAAACUCACAGCUCAACUGUGGGCGUGCGGGCGAUACGGGCAGACUUGAGUACUGCAGGGGAGAGUGGAAUUCCUGGUGUAGCGGUGAAAUGCGCAGAUAUCAGGAAGAACACCCGUGGCGAAAGCGGCUCUCUGGAACGGUACUGACGCUGAGACGCGAAAGCGUGGGGAGCGAACAGG